CCUACGGGGGGCUGCAGUGAGGAAUAUUGGUCAAUGGUCGGGAGACUGAACCAGCCAAGCCGCGUGAGGGAUGAAGGUACAGAGUAUCGUAAACCUCUUUUGUCAGGGAACAAAGGCGGGGACGCGUCCCCGGAUGAGCGUACCUGAAGAAAAAGCAUCGGCUAACUCCGUGCCAGCAGCCGCGGUAAUCCGGAGGAUGCGAGCGUUAUCCGGAUUUAUUGGGUUUAAGGGGUGCGCAGGCGGUCUGUUAGGUCAGCGGGCAAAGCCCGGGGCUCAACCCCGGCCCGCCGUUGAAACUGGCAGGCUCGAGUUGGAGAGAAGGAUGCGGAAUGCGCGGUGUAGCGGUGAAAUGCAUAGAUAUCGCGCAGAACUCCGAUUGCGAAGGCAGCAUGCCGGCUCCACACUGACGCUGAGGCACGAAAGCGUGGGUAUCGAACAGGAUUAGAUACCCGGGUAGUC
rnacentral:rRNA from 1 species